UUAGAUGCCAAAACUUGGCCUAUUUCAUAAAUUCGAGGACACUAUAUAAUCUAUAGAAAAUGAUCAUUUUGUAAAGUUAAAUAAUACCCAAUACAAUAAAAUUUGUCCAGAAAGUAUAAACAAUAUUUGAAGGAAAUUCCUUAAUAAUUAAGAUGAAACAAUAAAAUUGCUGGGAAACAAUGCUGUUGUUGAGCAUUUACUGACAGAAGUAGCCAAAAAGCCAGUAAUUUGAGUUACCUCCCUUGGCGUAAAAAAUGUAAAAUGAUCCGAAACUUGCAUAAAUUGUAAUUUUCGAAGAAAACAGUAUUUAUUUAGAACAUUUUUCACUUAUCUCGAUUUUUUUUAUCAAGUGUAAACGUGGAAUUAAUUUUUUUUUUAAUUUGAUGGUGAAAAAUAAAUAUUCAGCCCGGACCUUAUCAAAGUUUCGUGGGUAAACAGAUAUGGCUGACAAGUGUUAGAAACGUGAAGUUUUUCUAGGAGUGGUCCUUAUUUUAGGGACUUGUCAAUCCUUAAUAAUUGUUCAAAAGACAUAAGUGGAUAUUCAAGAUAUUUUAAAGUUGGAACUGCGUGUAAUAUUCAACCGAGAUUGACCCCCUGCUGUACAGAUCGGGGUACUUCGAAUUCGACGUAAAAGUUUAACUGUUUAAACUAUCGUGCACGGUGCAGAUGCUUACUAGUAUGCCGAGGUCAUUGCGAUUCUUUGGGGAUUUACUGGAGGCAACCACCACCAAAUAUUGUUAUCUACUACACAAAGGAAAGUGUAAAGUAGACAGAGCAGUAAACUUCAAUGUUUCAAGGGAAAUAUUUGUUCCCGUUGGAAGUGAUUUGGAAAAUAAUUAUAGUCAAAUCACCCCUACUGCAAGCCAAUUAUCAGACUGUAUCAAUCUCAGCUGAGUCCAAGAUAGGAAGAGGCUUUGGAGAGAACACAGAAUUACUACAGACAAAAGACUUGUGAAGUUAUAAGGGGAAUUGCAGAACUCAUAGCUCCACUUCAAUCUAGAUAUGUUGACAGUUAUUUCACAGAAACACUUUGCAGCUGACAAAGAUAAUCAAAUGAUGACCACUACUUUAACUCUAUGGUUGCAGCACAUUUCAAUUUUUGAAGU